GCUGAAGACUUUACUGACUGUGAUAUCACAGAAAAUGCACUGGCUGUAUGUCUAGUUCAUCUUACCAACUCUGGAAUCAAUCUGAAAGCUUGUGGUAAAGAUGACAAGGGAGACUCCACAGUGGUUCUGCAAGGAGUUUAUGAUUCUCAAGAAGUCUUUUAAAUAGCAGGGCUUCCUCCACUCUGUACGGGUUCAGUAACAUGACAUCUGCUCUGGACGUGACCAGCCACGCAUCAGGAAACUUGAGACUGUGGAUCAGAGACCCUCCUGUGUGCUUAGGAUAAACUCCAAACAGAGCACAGAAAUCAGCCCCUGAAAAGCAGUCAAAAUACUUGCAUCCAUGAAGCCCGAGCCAGCAUUAGCAGGUGGGAGCUGCAGGAAUCAGUUAGGAGAUGGAUGGCACUUAUUAGUCUGUAUCAUCAGAACACAGAUCCUCGCUUCCAGAACAACUUAAAAUCGAGAGAAAAUCCCAUGUGAGAGCUCUCAGGAAAACAUUAAAAUGCUAAUGAACUGAA
rnacentral:lncRNA from 1 species